rnacentral:rRNA from 1 species
AAUCCUACGGGGGGCAGCAGUGGGGAAUAUUGCACAAUGGGGGAAACCCUGAUGCAGCGACGCCGCGUGGGCGAGGAAGUACCUCGGUAUGUAAAGCCCUAUCAGCAGGGAAGAAACAGGACAGUACCUGACUAAGAAGCCCCGGCUAACUACGUGCCAGCAGCCGCGGUAAUACGUAGGGGGCAAGCGUUAUCCGGAUUCACUGGGCGUAAAGGGAGCGCAGGCGGCAUGGCAAGUCUGAUGUGAAAACUACGGGCUUAACUUGUAGACUGCAGUUGAAACUGGUUUUCUUGAGUGAAGUAGAG